GAUGAACGCUGGCGGCGUGUCUAAUACAUGCAAGUCGAGCGAACGGACGAGAAGCUUGCUUCUCUGAUGUUAGCGGCGGACGGGUGAGUAACACGUGGAUAACCUACCUAUAAGACUGGGAUAACUUCGGGAAACCGGAGCUAAUACCGGAUAAUAUUUUGAACCGCAUGGUUCAAAAGUAAAAGACGGUCUUGCUGUCACUUAUAGAUGGAUCCGCGCUGCAUUAGCUAGUUGGUAAGGUAACGGCUUAUCAAGGCAACGAUGCAUAGCCGACCUGAGAGGGUGAUCGGCCACACUGGAAAUGAGACACGGUCCAGACUCCUACGGGAGGCAGCAGUAGGGAAUCUUCCGCAAUGGGCGAAAGCCUGACGGAGCAACGCCGCGUGAGUGAUGAAGGUCUUCGGAUCGUAAAACUCUGUUAUUAGGGAAGAACAUAUGUGUAAGUAACUGUGCACAUCUUGACGGUACCUAAUCAGAAAGCCACGGCUAACUACGUG
rnacentral:rRNA from 1 species